AUUGAACGCUGGCGGCAUGCCUUACACAUGCAAGUCGAACGGCAGCACGGGGGCAACCCUGGUGGCGAGUGGCGAACGGGUGAGUAAUACAUCGGAACGUAUCCAGUAGCGGGGGAUAACUUCUCGAAAGAGAAGCUAAUACCGCAUACGACCUACGGUGAAAGAGGGGAGUCGCAAGACCUCUCACUAUUGGAGCGGCCGAUGUCGGAUUAGCUAGUUGGUGGGGUAACGGCCCACCAAGGCUACGAUCCGUAGCUGGUCUGAGAGGACGACCAGCCACACUGGAACUGAGACACGGUCCAGACUCCUACGGGAGGCAGCAGUGGGGAAGUUUUGGUACAAUGGGCGCAAGCCUGAUCCAGCCAUGCCGCGUGGGUGAAGAAGGCCU
rnacentral:rRNA from 1 species